UACGAAGGGGGCUAGCGUUACUCGGAUUGACUGGGCGUAAAGGGCGCGUAGGCGGUUCGUACAGUCAGACGUGAAAUUCCUGGGCUCAACCUGGGGGCUGCGUUUGAUACGUGCGGACUUGAGUGCGGAAGAGGGUCGUGGAAUUCCCAGUGUAGAGGUGAAAUGCGCAGAUAUCGGGAGGAACACCAGUAGCGAAGGCGACACUCUGGGCCGGUACUGACGCUGAGGAGCGAAAGCGUGGGGAGCAAACAGG
rnacentral:rRNA from 1 species